GUGCAUGCUGAUCAUAAUAAAAAAAAAAUAUUAGUGAUGUGGUAAUUAUAUUAAUAUUCCUUAUUUGUAUCCUUCAGGCUAGAUGAAGCCAACCUUUACUUGUUGUGUGAUCACCUGUCCUGGACUGGCCACUUAGCCCAUCAGGUAAUUGCUCAGUGGAGUUUAAAGGGACACUAAAGUCAAACAUUCAAACAGCAAUGUUUACUUUGAAGGGUUACACUGGCUUUCGCUGCAACGACUGAGCAAAACAUGGUCAUAUGAAAUUGUAGCCCCCAACCAUUGAUUCAGGUCUUCAGUGCUCCUCUACAAAAAGUAUUGAAAUGGACCAUGUUGGAGGAGACCAUGCCUCCUCCAUGACAUCGUGGAAGAAGAAGAGGUAGGCAGAGCUGAGUAUUUUUUAAUAGCUGUAUUUUUUAAUUGCCGUGGCCCCCCAGGUAUACUGGUGAGCUGAGGCUUCAGCUCCCAAUGUAUUUAAUUGAAAUAGAGACAAGACGACCCUGGACCAAUACUGGACCUCAGCUACUGCCCACAUACUGGAAGCUAGCGUGUAUAUAAAUAUACACUGAAAGCCAGGAGCUCAUUAAAAUAUUGCUGUGUGCUGUGUGUGAUCACAGAGUAUCAGUGCAACAAGAAGCAUUACAUAUAUAUAUAUAUAUAUAUAUAUUGUGGACUGAGAGGCAGCUGGUUUUAAAUAUUUAGUAGAUAUUCCCCCCUUAUAGGAAUAUGGAGGUCUUAUUGUCCCUCAUAGGUUUAUUUAUUUACUUUAAUGUGACAGCUGGCUAGCAAGCUCUGGCCAGCCGCUACGUAUUUAACCACAUAUUUGCAUUGCAGAGGGGUUUAAUCUAUUGGCCACCUGGUUGCUAACACUGCCAGCAGACAAUUAGCUUGGAUUUUUUAAAAUCUGGGCUCCGAUUUGAAGUAUUUGUGUCUGGCUCUAAGUCAAUCUGAAAUCUAGACCUAAUUCAUUCUGAGCCUGAAUUGCAAAACCCAGAC